CAUGAAGGAUUUGACAUGAUCCAUCUACGCCAAGUAACCAUAUCUGUCUAUAGAAAUAAAAUAGACAUCCAAUAAAUAAAUAAAAGAUAUCCAUACUAUUUAACUAAAUUUGCUAAUAGAGAUAAAAUAGGCAUCUAGUAGAUAAAUAAAAGAGGAUUUUAUUGAAAAUGAAAGAUCAGAGAAAAGAAGCUAUCCUGAUUUUCUUUUAUAGGGAAGUUAUUGAAGAUAAAAAGUUUAUGAGGAUUUUUUUUUCUCCAA
rnacentral:lncRNA from 1 species